rnacentral:tRNA from 1 species
CGGGGCGUAGCGCAGCCCGGUAGCGCGCCUGCUUUGGGAGCAGGAUGCCGCAGGUUCAAAUCCUGCCGCCCCGACCA